AGAGUUUGAUUAUGGCUCAGGAUGAACGCUGGCGGCGUGCUUAACACAUGCAAGUCGAACGAAGCGCCUGCUUUGAAUUCCUUCGGGAAGGAAAAGUUUGCGACUGAGUGGCGGACGGGUGAGUAACGCGUGGGCAACCUGCCCCGCACUGGGGGACAACAGCUGGAAACGGCUGCUAAUACCGCAUAAGCGCACGGCUUCGCAUGAAGCAGUGUGAAAAACUCCGGUGGUGCGGGAUGGACCCGCGUCUGAUUAGCUGGUUGGCGGGGUAACGGCCCACCAAGGCGACGAUCAGUAGCCGGCCUGAGAGGGUGGACGGCCACAUUGGGACUGAGACACGGCCCAGACUCCUACGGGAGGCAGCACUGGGGAAUAUUGCACAAUGGGGGAAACCCUGAUGCAGCGACGCCGCGUGAGCGAAGAAGUAUUUCGGUAUGUAAAGCUCUAUCAGCAAGAAAGAAAAUGACGGUACCUGACUAAAAAGCUCCGGCUAAAUACAUGCCAGCAGCCGCGGUAAUACGUAUGGAGCAAGCGUUAUCCGGAUUUACAGGGUGUAAAGGG
rnacentral:rRNA from 1 species